rnacentral:rRNA from 1 species
GAUGAACGCUGGCGGCGUGCCUAACACAUGCAAGUCGAGCGAACAGACGAGGAGCUUGCUCCUCUCACGUUAGCGGCGGACGUGUGAGUAACACGUGUAUAACCUACUUAUCUGACUGGGAAAAUUACGGGAAACCGGAUCUAAUACCGGAGAAUCUAUUGCACCAUAUGGUGCAUUAGUGAGAGACGGCUUUGCUGUCUCUUCUAGAUGGUUCCGCGCCGCAUUAGCUAGUUGGUAAGUUAACGGCUUACGAAGGCUACGAUGCGUGGCCGACGUGAGGGGGUGAUCGGCGACACGGGAGCUGAGACGCGGUCCAGAGUACUGCGAGAGGGAGCAGAAGGGAAUCUUCCGCAAUGGGCGAAAGCUUGGCGGAGCAACGGCGCGUGAGUGAUGAAGGUCUCCGGAGCGUAAAACUCUGUUAUGGGGGAAAAACAGAUGUGUAAGUAGCUAUGCACGUCUUGACGGUACCUAAUCAGAAAGCCACGGCUAACUACGUG